CCCUUAGAUGUCCGGGGCCGCACGCGCGCUACACUGAAGGAAUCAGCGUGGCUUUCUCCCUGACCCGAAAGGGUUGGGAAACCCGUUGAAUCUCCUUCGUGAUAGGGAUUGGGGCUUGAAAUUGUUCCCCAUGAACGAGGAAUUCCCAGUAAGCGCGAGUCAUAAGCUCGCGUUGAUUACGUCCCUGCCCUUUGUACACACCGCCCGUCGCUACUACCGAUUGAACGGUUUAGUGAGGGCCUCGGAUUGGUCUCGGCCCGCUCUUUACCGGGCGGCGCCGUUGGUCGAGAAGACGCUCGAACUUGAUCGUUUAGAGGAAGUAAAAGUCGUAACA
rnacentral:rRNA from 1 species